rnacentral:tRNA from 1 species
AACAGUAUAAUGUAAUAGGUAACAUAUUAAGCUCAUGACUUAAUAAUGAUAGUUCAAAUCUGUCUACUGUAU